CUCGCGACCAUCCAUGGGUCAGCUAUGUGGACUCUAGCUGCCAAAGGCGCUUCUCCUUCUGAACAGAGCGCUUUGCUCAGCCAGUGUAGACAUGGCCUGAUAAACAAUGGAACUUCUCC
rnacentral:pre_miRNA from 14 species